rnacentral:rRNA from 1 species
AGGGUGAACCUGCGGAAGGAUCAUUA